AAAUUGAAGAGUUUGAUCAUGGCUCAGAUUGAACGCUGGCGGCAGGCCUAACACAUGCAAGUCGAACGGUAGCACAGAGAGCUUGCUCUCGGGUGACGAGUGGCGGACGGGUGAGUAAUGUCUGGGAAACUGCCCGAUGGAGGGGGAUAACUACUGGAAACGGUAGCUAAUACCGCAUAACGUCGCAAGACCAAAGAGGGGGACCUUCGGGCCUCUUGCCAUCGGAUGUGCCCA
rnacentral:rRNA from 1 species